UCCCUACCACAACUUUUUAUUUACUGAUUUUCCUAUCGAUUAAGCCCCAUGGAAUGAACACUGUCCAACAAAUGGAACCCGAGCUGAACAAAGGGACAUGUGUUUGCAUAUACAACAUGCCUAAAUCCAGUUGCAAAUUGCAACAUAUUUGCAUGUGCCACUUGCAACAUUUACGAUCGACUAAAGCACUCACUCAAUCAUCGCUCGGGGACAAGAACAAAUACAAAUAGCCACCAAAAAUACGACAAAAUUUUCCGCAGCAAAGAGGAAAAUCCCGCAAAAAGGGAAAGCGGGGAAAGUGGGCACAUAGACACAAAGGACAACUAAUUAAGCAAAGCAAUUAACUUAAGCAGCGACUAAGUCGGCUCACGAACCACUUGAAACUCCAAUUAGGGGCGUGGCACAUCCACAAUCUGUCUAAUCCCAUCGAGGGUCCAAGUGAUUGUGGCGCUUUCUCUCCUUUUGAUUGCAAGCUGUUUAAUGCAAUGUAAACAGAAAUAAAUAAAGCUUUUGGGCCGACUGCCGCACAAUCUGCUGUUUCCCUCCCACACUAUGUUAUAUAAUACGCUUUCCCGAUGCUGAUAAGACGGCGAACUGAAUACAAAAGAAUUGGGGCAGAUGAAGGAACAGCUCGUUUUGAU